rnacentral:tRNA from 1 species
GGCGAGGUAGCUCAGUGGCAGAGCAGGGGACUCAUAAGCCCUUGGUCGUGAGUUCAACUCUCACUCUCGCCACCA